GUGGGGAAUCUUGCGCAAUGGGCGAAAGCCUGACGCAGCCAUGCCGCGUGAAUGAUGAAGGUCUUAGGAUUGUAAAAUUCUUUCACCGGGGACGAUAAUGACGGUACCCGGAGAAGAAGCCCCGGCUAACUUCGUGCCAGCAGCCGCGGUACUACGCAGGGGGCUAGCGUUGCGCGGAAUUACUGGGCGUAAAGGGCGCGUAGGCGGACAGUUUAGACAGAGGGGAAAGCCCAUGGCUCAACCUUGGAAUUGCCUUUGAUACUGGCGGUCUUGAGUACGGGAGAGGGGAGUGGAACUCCGAGUGUAGAGGUGAAAUUCGUAGAUAUUCGGAAGAACACCAGUGGCGAAGGCGACUCACUGGCCCGUUACUGACGCUGAGGCGCGAAAGCGUGGGGAGCAAACAGGAUUAGAAACCCCGGUAGUCC
rnacentral:rRNA from 1 species